GGAACAAUACUGAUUUGCAGAAAUUUUGGAAGAAAGGUAUGAAGAGGAAAACAAAAACCAUCAAGAGAUCCAUUGUUAAUAUUGCGAUGUAUUCUCUUCCAAUCUUUGUGGAUGUGGGUCAUGGCCUAGUCCUGUCUCCAUUAGGACAACCCUAAAGAAUGGCAAGAAGAGGGAGGCAUCAGCUCAUACCCACCCCAGCUUAGCAGAUAAGAAGUGCAAUGUUGGCAAUACAGACUGCCUCCCCAGGAACGAUGCCAGAGUGACCUCGGAUGACUCAAUCCAUUAGUGCAGGGUGCCUAGGAAUCACCUGGAAGUCUUGUUGGAACGCAGAGACUGAUUCAGCAGCCCUCAGGCCUCCCGAGAUUCUGCUCUCCUACAAACCUCAGUGCCGUGGCUGCUGCGGGCCCACAGAUCACACUUUGAACAGCAAGAGUUUGAAACUUCUUCUCCUGAUUGGCUGCAGGAUGGCCCAGGAGCCUGGUGUUUCCAAAUCCAGGGCUCUGGUGAAACUGCCAGGCCCAGGAGGUCUGAAUCCAAAGCAAUUGGGAUCCAUGUCUGUGAGAAAGGAGACCGCGGGGUGAGGGCAAGGAGGGGAGCAGGAGUGAGAGCCGGGUAGCCACCCGAAGGCUGAGAGGGGGCACAAGUUCAGGACAGCUUAAAGCGGAGGUGGCAGGCGCUAGGGCUGCUUGGCUAUGUAGGGAAGGACGUGUUUGGAGGACUGCCGUCUCCAGCUGGGGAGGCAGCGAGGGGCUCCUUCUCGGGGCCAGGUCUCAUCCUGGGCACCUGCACAUCAUUACCUCCGUUCUCUUAGGUAAUACAUAAUAUCUUCACUGAUUAUUGUAUAAAUUUUAACUCUGGUUUUCAUGGCUACAUGUGGUUAAAAUAUUGUAAGACCCUGUCUCUGUGAAGUGGCAAGAGGAAGCAGGGGAUGGGAUGGGAUGGGAUGGGGUGGAAGAAGGGGACCAUCUGAGUGCCUAGUACACGCCAAGGUCUGAGACAGGACAUUGCCAUAGCGUGGCUCAUUUGAUCCUCUGCAAAGGACUGUGCAAAGAAGGUAGUAUAAGUAGCAUUUUGACAGAUGGGAAGGAGGCUGGUAGAGGGGAAUUACCUCGCCCACAGUCACAAACCAGUACACAG